rnacentral:tmRNA from 1 species
CCACUUCACAUUCAUCCACGACGCGCUAUAUGGGGGGUGCCGGUUUCGACCGGAUAUGGCGAUAAACGGCGCCGUGACAUAGGUACAACGGACCCGGGGGCAGUACCCGGCGGCUCCACCACAACCCGCCGCGAAAGUGGCGGUUUAUGACGGGGCCGAACUAGGAUCGACGUGUGCUGAAAGACGGCGUUUUUGCUCGGGCUGAGUAUCCCGCAAAACUGUUCAAAACACACAAGUGCCAACGAUAACGAAGCACUCGCUCUCGCUGCGUAACUCCACGUCCUAACGGACCAAGGUUACAAGGCUUAAGCGCGGUUGGACCGACCGGGCAACAGAACGGAUUCCGG